UACGGGGGGUGCGAGCGUUGUCCGGAAUCACUGGGCGUAAAGGGCGCGUAGGUGGUCUGAUAAGGGUGUGGUGAAAGUCCGGGGCUCAACCCCGGAUCUGCCGUGCCGACUGUCAGACUCGAGGACUGUAGAGGCAGGCGGAAUUCCGGGUGUAGCGGUGGAAUGCGUAGAGAUCCGGAGGAAGACCGGUGGCGAAGGCGGC
rnacentral:rRNA from 1 species